GGUGUAGCAAUACAUGCUGACGAGUGGCGCACGGGUGCGUAACGCGUAUGCAACCUACCUAUAACUGGGGAAUAGCCUUCUGAAAGGAAGAUUAACACCGCAUAAAAUCAUGAAACGGCAUCGUUUUAUGAUCAAAUCAUUGAGGUUAUAGAUGGGCAUGCGUGACAUUAGCUAGUUGGUGAGGUAACGGCUCACCAAGGCUACGAUGUCUAGGGGGUCUGAGAGGAUGAUCCCCCACACUGGUACUGAGACACGGACCAGACUCCUACGGGAGGCAGCAGUAAGGAAUAUUGGACAAUGGGCGCAAGCCUGAUCCAGCCAUGCCGCGUGAAGGAUGACGGCCCUCUGGGUUGUAAACUUCUUUUAUACGGGAAUAAACCCCUGGUUUCUACCGGGGCUGAAUGUACCGUAAGAAUAAGGAUCGGCUAACUUCGUGCCAGCAGCCGCGGUAAUACGAAGGAUCCAAGCGUUAUCCGGAUUUAUUGGGUUUAAAGGGUGCGUAGGCGGACUAUUAAGUCAGUGGUGAAAGCCUGCAGCUUAACUGCAGAACUGCCAUUGAUACUGAUGGUCUUGAGUACAUUUGAGGUGGGCGGAAUGUGUCAUGUAGUGGUGAAAUACUUAGAUAUGACACAGAACUCCGAUUGCGAAGGCAGCUCACUAAACUGUAACUGA
rnacentral:rRNA from 1 species